rnacentral:rRNA from 1 species
GACGAACGCUGGCGGCGUGCUUAACACAUGCAAGUCGAACGACGUGGCGAACGGGUGAGUAACGCGUAAUCAACCUGCCCUUCAGAGGGGGACAACAGUUGGAAACGACUGCUAAUACCGCAUACUGAAGGCGGGGCUUGCGUCUGAUUAGCUAGUUGGAGGGGUAACGGCCCAACAAGGCGAUGAUCAGUAGCCGGGCUGAGAGGAUGAACGGCCACAUUGGGAAUGAGACACGGCCCAGACUACUACGGGAGGCAGCAGGGGGGAAUUUUCCGAAAUGGACGAAAGUCUGACGGAGGAACGCCGCGGGAGUGAUGAAGGCCUUCGGGUUGUAAAGCUAUGUUAAGCGGGAAGCGGUACCGGAAUAGAAAGCCACGGCUAACUACGUGCCAGCAGCCGCGGUAAUUC